GACGAACGCUGGCGGCGUGCCUAAUACAUGCAAGUCGAACGCAUUUUCUUUCACCGUAGCUUGCUACACCGACAGAAAAUGAGUGGCGAACGGGUGAGUAACACGUGGGUAACCUGCCCAUCAGCGGGGGAUAACACUUGGAAACAGGUGCUAAUACCGCAUAAUUCCAUUUACUGCAUGGUAGAUGGAUGAAAGGCGCUUUUGCGUCACUGAUGGAUGGACCCGCGGUGCAUUAGCUAGUUGGUGGGGUAACGGCCUACCAAGGCUGCGAUGCAUAGCCGACCUGAGAGGGUGAUCGGCCACACUGGGACUGAGACACGGCCCAGACUCCUACGGGAGGCAGCAGUAGGGAAUCUUCGGCAAUGGACGCAAGUCUGACCGAGCAACGCCGCGGGAGUGAAGAAGGUUGUCGGAUCGUAAAACUCUGUUGUUAGAAAAGAACAAGUAUGAGAGUGGAAAGUUCAUCCCUUGACGGUAUCUAACCAGAAAGCCACGGCUAACUACGUG
rnacentral:rRNA from 1 species